UUUAUAACUCUAGCUAUGGGUAAACUUCUGAGCAGUGUUUAGGUUGGAUUGUAGGACAAAUUUUGACUUCUCUUUUAUGGCCAAGCUUUGAAUUUGCAAACGGCAGAUUUGGGUCUUCCACUCUUUAUGAAAGUUUCAGGCCUAUGACUUAACUUUCCAGA
rfam:Populus trichocarpa scaffold_4_contig_189, whole genome shotgun sequence.